rnacentral:sRNA from 1 species
UCUUAUAUGCAGCCGAAUCCCGCGGCACCACGCGGGAGCGGGGGACCCACCGGGAGCGACGAGAGACGCUCCCCGGGGCGCAGGUGAGCCACGCUCACCGGGGCACGUUCCGGCCCUAGCCCGUCAGCUAACCUCGCAGGCCGGCGCGGAGAU